AUACGAAGGGUGCAAGCGUUAAUCGGAAUUACUGGGCGUAAAGCGCGCGUAGGUGGUUCGUUAAGUUGGAUGUGAAAGCCCCGGGCUCAACCUGGGAACUGCAUCCAAAACUGGCGAGCUAGAGUAUGGCAGAGGGUGGUGGAAUUUCCUGUGUAGCGGUGAAAUGCGUAGAUAUAGGAAGGAACACCAGUGGCGAAGGCGACCACCUGGGCUAAUACUGACACUGAGGUGCGAAAGCGUGGGGAGCAAACAGGAUUAGAUCCCCUGGUAGUCCACGCCGUAAACGAUGUCGACUAGCCGUUGGGAUCCUUGAGAUCUUAGUGGCGCAGCUAACGCAUUAAGUCGACCGCCUGGGGAGUACGGCCGCAAGGUUAAAACUCAAAUGAAUGGACGGGG
rnacentral:rRNA from 1 species